GACGAACGCUGGCGGCGUGCUUAACACAUGCAAGUCGAACGGAAAGGCCCUGCUUUUGUGGGGUGCUCGAGUGGCGAACGGGUGAGUAACAUGUGAGUAACCUGCCCUUGACUUUGGGAUAACUUCAGGAAACUGGGGCUAAUACCGGAUAGGAGCUCCUGCUGCAUGGUGGGGGUUGGAAAGUUUCGGCGGUUGGGGAUGGACUCGCGGCUUAUCAGCUUGUUGGUGGGGUAGUGGCUUACCAAGGCUUUGACGGGUAGCCGGCCUGAGAGGGUGACCGGCCACAUUGGGACUGAGAUACGGCUCAGACUCCUACGGGAGGCAGCAGUGGGGAAUAUUGCACAAUGGGCGGAAGCCUGAUGCAGCAACGCCGCGUGCGGGAUGACGGCCUUCGGGUUGUAAACCGCUUUCGCCUGUGACGAAGCGUGAGUGACGGUAAUGGGUAAAGAAGCACCGGCUAACUACGUG
rnacentral:rRNA from 1 species